GGAGAGCAACAACAAAGACACAAUGAAGGAGAGCAACAACAGAGACAGACAAUGAAGGAGAGCAACAACAGAGACAGACAAUGAAGGAGAGCAAAAACAGACAGACAAUAAAGGAGAGCAACAGAGACAGGCAAUGGAAAAGAGAAACAACAGACAACUGAGGGUGUGUUCUGAGUGUUUGCCCUUAGCAGUUUACAAGAGACAGAAAAACAGGUUCUGAAUGUUCUGGGGGAUGCCUUUUGCAUUUUUCAAAGACAGAAAACCUGUUGGUACAGUUAAACGCAGCUAAUCUUUAUUCUCCGCUUUGACCUUUCCAAAAUGGCGGCGAGGAUGACGUAUGAUUCUACGCGGAAGGCGGCGUCUUCAAUGGUCCGGAAUAAAGUGAAUGAUACACGUUGAUGGAAUUAAUUUGUUGUUUCUCACAUGUGAAAGGUAAUCCCAUAUGAUCUCGUUUGGACGGUAAACCUGUUGGUACAGUUAAACGCAGCUAAUCCUUAUUCUCUGCUUUGACCUCUCCAAUAUGGC